GGGGCCGGGACUCUGACGGUGAAGUCCACGCGGAGGGCGUCCUCGCCGCCGCUUCCGCGCCCAGAACCCACCUGUCCGGGCUGAGACUCUGCGGUUGGGUCCAGCCGGGGGCCAGCUGGGUGGCCCCGCAGCCACCAGCCGGGCUCGGUCCAUUUUUGACCUAAAAGACUAGAUACGAGGCGAAGGGGCUCGGCGCGAAGCGGGCCGGAGGUCGUCCUAUUUCACACGCACCCUCAAGCCCAAAGGCAUCCUAGAUCUCGUGCCCUCUGUGGGAACCUCUUCCCCUGGGCGGGAACCCCAGACUCUGUCCACUGAGUCAGUCCAGGGGCGACGGGGGAGGGGUUAGAGAAGAGCAUCUAGUGAGAGCAUUGUCACUAUUAUUUACCCUAAUUAAGUUUAACUGUUCGCUUGUCAUUUCUUUGCUAUUUGGAAUGGAAGUGCUGAGGUGCUGAGAAGUAAAAACGUUAAGAGGAAAUAGGACCAAAGCCUUGGGGCGCAGCCCUGCCCCACUCCCAGGUGUUCCUUUAGGCUUCCCCGUUCGUCAGUCAACCCCCUCCCCCCACAUCCACCCCACCUUUUGCCAUCUGGGCUCCAGGUCCUGGACGUCCUGUCGAGAUCAGUGGGGCCAAAGGUGGGAAGACAAUGGCCCUUGUGUCUCAAGGAGCAGAAGAAAGAGUUGUCAACUUUUGUUUUGCUUUUGCUUUUUUCAGGAGGAAUAUGGAAGUUAUUUCCUUUCAGAGGGAUGGGAUCACUUAAGAUGGAAGAUUGACGACUGAUGAGGCCUGGGGAAGAAAGAUGGAGAAUGGGGCAGAAUGCCUCUACCUGGAUAUGAAAGCAAACCACGUAUGUCCCUCGUUCAUCUCCAGCCAAGGCUUGUGAAACAGUACAUGGAGGGUAAGGAGACAGACCGAUACAAAUGCAUCCAGGAGGCUCAGAUACCCAUCAGCAACAAAUGCACAGCAAUCAAGUAAAUCCACAGUUAAGCAAACAAAACCAAGGCGGAGCCCUGAAUACCUUUUUC